GUUCCCUUGGACACAAGCUGCAUUACUAUUUAAGUGAUCCUUUUUCAGUACUAUUCUACUGGACACGAAGUGUGUUCAUUUCACUCUCAAUAUCCAGUUUCAAGGCUGAAGAACCGCACACUCAUGGACUGAUUGUUGUGGACCAAGAAGUAUAGGUAAGAAAAUACCUCGCUUUCUUUAUAGCUUUCUCAGACUACUGCUAUUAUUAUUCUACCUCUAAGGCCAGCCUCCCAGUAGUGUUCUCAUCUAUCAGAACUUUUUUAACCAAUUAACCUUUCUAUUUAGCAGGAAAAAAAUAUAUGAAACAUUUAAACAGAUACGACUUUAAAAGAUAUUGUAUAAAUUUAAUAUAGCUUAUUUGUCAUGAAGUCCAUAAAACACUCUUCAACCUUUAUAUGUUUAUAAUAUAAAAUCAAUGUGAAAGAACAAGUAUUUUAUUAGAAAGGUAACAAUAAAACCAAAUUAUAAAAAGAAGACACUAAAUAACUAUCUAGUACUAAGUAUUUGGCUAGGCUAAUUUCCUGCAGAAAAUGAAUAUCUACUAUGUGUACCUACCUCAACCCCAUCCACUCAGCAAUAUCUGUGAAUUGACUGGGAAGACAUAUUAAACUGCGCUGCAGAAUAUGUAAGAAGCAGAGUCAAAGUAUUAGUUUGUUCAGAGUUAAACAUACAUAUAAAAGGACAGGGUUCAUUUAGCAUUAACUGUGAAUCUCUGAGAGUAUCUAAUUUAUUGUUUUUAUUAAUAAAUAUCAUGUCCAGUAUGAGGGUUAGGGGCAAGAGAGAAGGAAUUUAAAUACUUAGAACAUUUUAGAGAACGUUCCAAGAGAAACCAAAUACCUCAGACUAUUUAGAGACAGAAGUAUUUUGCAGUGAAUGUGCUAUGAAAGAAUUUAUUAAAGUAAUUACCUUUACUAUUCACUGAUUUCCAUAGCAACGGCACAAAUUUUGAUUUCCUUGAAUUGAUAUUUAAGACUGUUUUGAGGAGUAAAUUAUUUCUCUGGUUUACUCAUUCCUUUAAUGCCCUCACCAACCUUCACCCACUAUAGUGGAAAAAAAAAUAGGACCACAAACUUGGUAAAGUUGGCUACAAAUAACUGAUUUUUCCUUAGUACUAUUCUAUGACCUGUGUUAAUUUGUUUUCAAACCAAAAAACAGUGUUCUAUGGAAGAUUUCAGAUAAUUUCUACAAACUCAAGUUCAUGGUUUUACAUAUAGAUAUGAUAUGUGAUAAGGUAAACACAGAAGUCAUAGAGGAAAUUCAAGUGAUUUCAGAUGCUCCUCAUAGGCAUGCUUCCCCCAGUCUCAUCAUGCACACUUGAAGCCACCCUUUUCCAGAUCAACUGCCUGUGAAAGAUUUUCAGAACUCUGAGCCAUUACUAAAUGGCCAUGGAAAGAAAUUAAGCAAAGAAAAAUUGGACAGACUUUCAGGAAAAGUUUCCUAAUUGUGAAAACUAUUAAAAUGUGGAAUAAAUAUCCUCUGAGGGAGAGGAUAGAUGCCCAUCUCUGAGGCUUUAAAAACAGGAUUUGACCAACACUUUGGGAAGAGAAAUGAGGGCAAUAUUCAUUACUUGGCAAGGAAGUGAGCUGGAUGACAUAAUGGUCUUUUCCCUCUUUCAUGCUAAUGCCUCUUUAAUGUUUCCAUUUAAGUAGUAACUUAGUUUCAAAAGCGGACAUUUUAAUGUGGGAAGAGUACUCAGGUUUCAAUGAAAACCUCACCAGAAAAAAUCAGGAAUGAAGGCCACCAUUGACCCUGUACGUGGAUUACUUUUGUAUUUGACCACGUAAGACAAUUGGAUGGGCACCUAAUAUAUUUCCUGGUACACUCCUAUUGUGGUUGGUCUUCUUUAUCUGUAUGUCUAUCUUGUUCAGUCUGCGCUUCAGCUUUGCAGGAAAAUAGAAAUUUUUUUUUCUGUGCUUGUUUAUGCUAACCAUGGUGCCUACAACUGCAUCUGCUGCCUUUACACGGGACUGCAAACCUGUUUUUUUCAACCUUCUGUUUUAUGGGUGUGCACACCCAUAAAUCUCCUGUGGCUGGGUUAAGGGAACAUACAAGCAGCUCUUCAGCAUUAAGAAUGUGAUGGGAGAGAUUCAGGUAGAUUUGAACUGCCAUCAUCAAUCAAGACCAAGGAGAAGGCUGCUUUCCAGGAUGUACACAUGGCCUCUGUUUGCUGUUGCUGUUUUGCUUCUUUUAAGAGGUGAACCAAUAUAUGUAUGUCUGUUUCUACUGUCACUUGCAGCUCAACAGAACCCUGUAAUAUACAUGAACAAGUUUCUGGAAGUUAAGAGAUUACCCCAUAACAUCUUCCCCUGCCCCCAGUACAAGAAGCAUAGAAGUCUCCAAUGAAACUCAACCCAAAGAGGUGUUCACCAAGACACAUAAUAAUCAAAACAAACAAAAAAAAAACAAAGAAAAAAAUCUGAGGACAGCAGGAAAUGAAAUACACAUCACAUACAAAAGAGUGUCAAUAUAACUAUCAGCAGAAACUCUGCAGGCCAGUUGACAAUGGAAUCAUAUAUUAAAAGAGCUCAAGGGGGAAAAAAACCCUGACAAACAAGAAUACUUUAUGCAGCAAAUCUGUAUUUCAGAAAUAAGGAAGAAAUAAAAAUGUUACCAGACAAAUAAAAGCUAAGGAAGAUCAUCACCACCAGACCUACCUUACAGAAAUAACUAAAGAAAAUUCUUUAAGCUGAAAAAAGGCUGCUAAUUAAUAACAUAAGACAUACAAAAGCAUGAAACUCAAAGAUGUAAGUCAUAUAGAGACACAUUCAUAAUACUUUAGGAUUGUAAUGAUGGCAUGUAAAGCAAUUUUAUUUCUAGCACAAGGAUUAAAAUAUAAAACUAUGAGUAUCAACUAUAGCUAAAAUAAAUUUUCAAGAGAUGCACAUUACAAAAUGAUGUAAAUUAUGACAUCAAAAACAUAAAAGGGAGCGAUAGUAAAAAUGUAGAGUUUGUUGCAUGCAAUCAAAAUUAAGUUACUAUCUGUUUUACACAGGCUGUUAUAAGUUCUGGGUAAGCCUCAUGGUGACCACAAAGCCAAAAUGUUUAGUAUAAGAACAAAACAAAAACAGAAAAAAUUCAAAGCAUACCACUACAAAAAACCAUCAAGCCACAGAGGAAGAUAGCAAGAGAGAAAGAAACAAAAUAUCUAUACAAUAACCAGAAAAUAAUGAACAGAAUGGCAGUAUUAAGUAGUUACCUAUCAAUAAUUACCUUGAAUGUAAAUGGAUUAAAUUUUCUAAUAAAAAGACAUAGACUGACUAAAUGAAUCAAAAAACAUGAUCCAACUAUUUGCUGCCUGUAAGAGACUCGCCUCACUUUUAGAGACAUACAUAGUCUGAAAGUGAAGGGAAAGAAAAAGAUAUUCCAUAUAAAUGGAAACCAAAAGAAAGCAGGCAUAGCUAUACUUUUAUCAGGCAAAAUAGACUUUAAGUUGAGAAAACUGUAAAUAGAGACAAAAAAGAACAUUAUCUAAUAAUAAAGGGGUCAAUUCAUCAAGAAGAUAUAACAAUGGUAAAUAUAUAUGCACCCAACAUCAGAGCACCUAAAUAUAUUAAACAAAUAUUAAAGAACAUGAAGGGAGAGAGAGAUAUAUAAUACUAGUAGGGUAUUUCAAUACUCCACUUUCCACAGUGAACAGACCAUCAAGACAGAAAAUUAAUAAGGAAACACUGGACUGACUUGAACAACACUUUAGACUAAAUAGACCUAACAGACACAUACAGAACAUUCUAUCCAACAGAAACAGAAUAUACACUCUUCUCAAGCAUACAUGGAACAUUUUCCGAGGUAGUUCAUAUGGCAUGUCACACGACAAGUCUUAAUAAAUUAAAUAAGAUUGAAUGUCAAGUGCUUUUCCAAUUACAAUGGUCUGAAACUAGAAAUCAGUAACAGGAGGAAUUUCAAAAAAAUUCACAUAUACAUGAAAAUUAAACAUAUUGCUGAAUAACCAAUGGUUCAAUAAAAAAAGGGAAUGUUAAAUUUUUUCUGGAGACAAAAGAAUAAAAACACAACAUGCUAAAAUUUAUGGAAUAACAACUCUGGCAAAAACAGUCCUAAGAGGAAAGUUUCUAGCAAUAAAAACUUACAUUAAAAAAGAAGAAAGAUUUCAAACAAUCAACUUAAUGUUAUUCCUCAAAGAAGUAGGAAAAAAGGAGAAACUAAGCCCAAAGUUAACAGAGGGAAGGAGACAAUAAAGAUCCAAGCAGAAUUAAUUAAACAUAGACUAGAUAAACAAUCCAAAAGAUCAAUAAACUAAGAGUUCGUUUUUUGAAAAUAUAAAAUCAGCAAACCAUUAGCUAAAAUAAGAAAAAAGAGAAAAGAUUAAAAUAAAUAAAGUCAAAAAUGAAAGAGGAGACUUUAUAAAUGAUACCAAAAAAAAUCAUGACACUACAAUGAACAAUCAUAUACCAACAAAGUGGAUAAUCUAGAAGAAAUGGACAAAUUUCUAGAAACAAAAUACCAGGGCUGAAUUGUGAAGAAAUGAAAAUUGGAACACACCACCAAUAAUGAGUAAGAAGAUUGAAUCAGUAAUGAAAAGUUUCCCAUCAAAGAAAAGCCCAAGACCUGAUGGUUUUAUUGCUAAAUUCUACCAAACUUUUAAAGAAGAUUAAUAUAACAUCAAUCCUUAAACUCUUCCAAAAAACUGAGAGCAAGAAAUACUUUCAAACUCCUUUUUGCAAGGCCAGCAUUUUCUGGAUAUUAAAGCCAGAUAGGGAUACCACAAGAAAAGAAAAUUGCUGGUCAAUAUCCUUAAUGAACAUAGGUGCAAAAAUUCUCAACAAAAUACUGACAAAUCAAAUUCAAGAGUGUAUUAAAAAGAUGGGAUUUACCUGUGAUAUGGAAUGGGUUUUCAACACACAUAAAUCAAUAAAUGUGCUAUAACACAUUAACAGAAUGAAGGACAAACCGCACAAUCAUCUGAUUAAAUGCAGACAAAGUAUUGACAAAGUUCAAUAUCCUUUUAAAAUAAACACACCAAAUUAGGGGUUGAAGGAAAAUACCUCAACACAAUAAAGGACCUAUGUGAGAAGGCCACAAGUAACAUACUCAACAGUGAAAAAUUGAAAGCCUUUCUUCUAAGAUUUGAAAUAAAGAUACCCACUCUUACGGUUUCUGCUUAACAUAGUAUUGGAUGUCCUUGUCAGAGCAAUUAGGCAAGAGAAAGAAAUAAAAAACAUCCAAAUAGAGAAGCAAAAGUAAAAUUGUCCUUGUUUGCUAAUGACAUGAUCUCAUAUAUAGAAAACCUUAAAGACUCUACCAAAAUGCUGUUAGAACUAGUAAAUGAAUUCCAUAAAGUUGCAUGACACAAAAUAAACAUACAAAAAUUAGUAGUAUUUCUAUACACUAUGAACUAUCUGAAAAAGAAAUGAAGAGAAAAAUUCCAUUUACAAUUGUUACAAUAAAUAGGAAUACAUUUAACCAAGGAGGUAAAAGACAUGUAUACUGAAAACUAUAAAACAUUGAUGAAAGGAAUGGAAAAAGACAAAAAUUAAUGGAUUUUGUUCAUAGAUUGGAAGAAUUAAUAUUGUUAAAAUGACUAUAUUGCACAAAGCAUUCUACAAAUUCAAUGUAAACCCUAUCAAUAUUCCAAUGACAGUUUUCACAGAAAUAGAAAAAAAAGUUCUGAAACUUAUAUGAAACAAACAAAAAAAAUCCCUGAAUAGUUAAGGCAAUCAUGAGCAAAAAGAACAAAGCUGGAGGUAUCUCACUAGCCGAUUUCAAACUGUACUACAAAGCUAUAAUAAUUAUAGUAGCAUGUUACUGGCAUUAAAAUAGACACAUCAACAAAUGUAACAUAGUAGAAAGCCCAGAAAUGAACCAACAUAUGUACAAUCAAUUGAUUUUCAACAUAGGUGCCAAGAAUACACAACGAGAAAAGAUAGUCUUGUCAAUAAAUGUGUUGGAAAAACUGGAUAUCCACAUGUAGAACAAUAAAAUUGGAUCCUUACAUCACACAGUGCACAAUAAUAAACUCACAAUGUGUUAAACACUGAAACAUAAGACUAGAAACUGUAAAACUGCUAUAAGAAAACCCCAGGAGAAAAACUACACAACAUUGGUCUGGACAAUAAUUUUUUUUUAUUUGACCCCAAAAGCACAGGCAACAAAAAUCAACAAACAGGAUUACUUCAAACUAAGGAGCUGGUACACAGGAAAAUAAAUGUAUUUUUGUAUAUGGUGUAAAAUAAAGACCCAAUUUCAUUCUUCUGCAUAUGGGUAUCCAGUUUUCCCAACAUCAGUUAUUGAAGAGACUAUCUUUUUCCUGUUGUGUAUUCUUUUUGUUGUGGGAGAAAUGGAACCCUUCCUCCUAUGAGCAUCUAUCUUCUUAUUUCCAAAGAGAGAGAAAAGUCCAUUCCUCAAACAAAAGCUAAGGUUUGAAGAAUAACUAUUACAAAGUAUCAAAGUACAUUACCAAAUUUUAUUUUGAAUGAUGCCCAAGACAUUGUAGUAAUGAACUCUGUUCGGUAUUUGGAAAACAAAUGAUAGAAGCUUAGCAGUACACAGGCAUACAAGUUAUUUCUGCACAGUGUUUGAAUUUCAGUUCCUCCAGUUACUAACUUUGUGAUCUUGCAUGGGCUAUUAACUUUCUGAGCCUUAGUAUCUUUUGCUGUAGUCUACCUCUCUCAUUGGUUUACUGGGGAAUUAAAUGAAGUCACCAUAAAGAAAGAGCCUUGGACAGUGCUUGGUAUAUAGUGGCAUAGAAUAUAAUUGCUCUUUCCUGAGAUGCUUCUAGAAUGAAAUUCUAGAAUGGAAGCUGUAGUCUUGGGUGUCAGGCAUAUAUUGGUUUAAUUUUAAUCUGGAUUUCAUGCCCCCUUAG
rnacentral:lncRNA from 1 species